AGAACACUUGAAAACUAUUCCAAAUAAAAGAAAGAGGAGUCAUCCACGUAGACUUUAUUGAUCAAAUGCAUAUGCACUGAGUGUUCUAUACCAUAUUAUUAAUGUAGUCCUACAACCUCUAAAUACUAAACAUAACUCAACCCCAAUCUUUAAAUGCUAAACUGUCUUUCAAUUCCACCACAACUCCUAAAUACAAAACCCGAACCCAAAUCAGUAAACCCUAAACCCAAACAUAAAACUCUAAACUCAAAUAGAAUGAAACAAAAGAAAUAACAUAGUACAUAUUGAUAAAAUUAUGAAAUGUUUAUGAUUGCAUGGAAGAAGUUAAUACUAAGCCCAACCAUACUCCCUCACUUUCUAAAUACUAAACCCCAAACCCAAAUCACUAAACCCUAACCCAAAUAUAAAACUCUAAACCUAUAAAUCAAAAUUUAAAAAGUACACAAUAUUAUGUAAUAUUACUCCUAAAUACUAAACCUAGCCCUAAGUUUUAAACACUAAACCCUAAACUAUUAUCAAUAAACCCAAACACAAAUGUAAACUACUACAUAUUCAUAAUUUUUAAAUAGUAUUGGAAAUCAACUCUAUCUCAACCCCUAUAAUCUAGAUAUUAAACUUUAUCCCAACCCCAUUCAAUCCCUAAAUACUAAAUCCUAAAACCCAAUCACUAAACCCUAAACUCAAAUACAAACCAUAAACCCAAAUAUAAAUCCUAAACCCAAAUAGAAUAGAACAAAAAAAAAUAGCAUAGUAUAUACUGGUGACA
rnacentral:lncRNA from 1 species